CUUUAGAGAAACUAAAUCCUCAAAAUUCACAGUUGAUUCCAUUUCAUUGUUCAGGCCAACGUUCCAAAAGUCAGCACGUGUCAAUCAAACUUUCUUUUUUUAGACAAUCAACACCAUUUCUGGCCUCUUUAUAUUCAAGAUUUGCAUAAGCUAAUGAGAAUGUUGAUUGGUUAAAUAAACAAAGAGUAAAUAAUCAAUUAUGUCCAAUUGUUAACUAAUAUAAGGAAUAAUAAGCCUAUCCAGAUUUCCACUGAGCACAACAUUUGUCUCAGACAUAAAAACAUACCAGCCGUUCCUGGGCAGGAUGAGUUUGAACCGUCCACGAAGCUCGGCAUGGUCUUAUAUUGUCACCAUUGGUCCUGUCUGCACAGUGGGUUUUACAGUGUUCGAUGUCUAUCAAAAAAAAAGUGUUCAGCACAGUCCAAAAUCUAAAGUACAUUACUACUUAUGCUACUUACUUCCAUUUGGAUCUCUGUGACAUCCCUGUAUCUGCAUGGGAAGACUACCAUUUGGGGGUCGUGAUUUAGUUUCUUCCCAAUGGGGUGGUGAUCAAGGAGCUAGUAAAAAAAAAAUAAUAAAAAUGAAAAAAUAUAUAGCUAAGCAGAGUAACAAUAUCAAGAAAAAAUUACAACCUUGUCCUAUUUGGAUCAUGUUACAACAUUCAAACUACAAAGGACCAGACAAAACAAAUGAAGGCAAAACAACAAUACCAUACAACAACAAAAACAGCGAGCUGCGAAUUGCAGGCAUGUACAUAAUGAAAAAUAAGAGUGCAAUAUAAUGAAAACUACACAAAGAAGACUGUUCAUUGAGGGGAAAAAAAUGUAAAAAGCAUUAGCAGCAUUAGCCAAUUCGCUGCUGAAUUCAUCAGUACGUAUUAAACAAUAUAAGUAGAGCAAAGUCACAUGCAGUUAGUAAAGGAAGACAUUAUUUAAAUUACAUUAAGAAUACUAGAUAUAAGUACGGUCUUUUCAACUCAGAAUAAACACUUCAUAUUUUCACCGCAAGUGUUGUUUAACUAUUUAACAUUUUUAAACAUGCAUACGCUUUUAAAAACUUUUUUUCAGUGCGGCCACUUACCGUGUUUUCUUCGCGAGAGGUGAAAUAACGUAACUUGUUUUCGUCGCAAGGGUUGACGACAUUUCCGGUCUGAGGGGAUUGAGAGCUGCGGUAUUGCGUCAUUUCCUGUCUGCGGGAUGGGUACUGAGAAGAGCGGCGCAGGGUACUGAGAGAGGCGGGCUGCAGCCAGACUCCUCUCGAAGUCGGCGCUCGGUGGACGAGCGUAGACGGCGCGCGGCCGUUGGCCGAAACGUAGACCGCGGCCCGCCUCCUCCUUUUGCUGUAGAAAAUCCCACGUCGCCGUUGGCCGAAACGUCGACCGCGGUCAGCCUCCUUUUUUCGGCCGCGGCCAAUCGGCUCUCCUCGCCUACGAACACGGACGCCCGUGAUUGGCUCCACGAACGCAGACCGCGGCGGCCCGCCUCCUCCUUACGACGCGCCUGCGAUUGGCCCAAAAGACGCAAUCGGCGAAAAGACCCACGCACUCAAUCGACAAGCUGAAAAGUGUACAUCAGAAGCGAUGACCGGCCACCAUGCUUUGCUGCCUAAACUGCGCUUGAGAAGUACAUGUACAAACAAGGAAAAACUGCCUUGCCGUCACCGCAGCUCCAACAGACCAGCAGAUCCCCGGCCAGCUCACGGUGACGUUUGGGAAAUACAAAGGCAAGACCUUCAUGUGGCUUACGGAAUUGUUGGGAAUCAUUCAUACCUUAAAAUAUUACGCAAUAAUUACCUGACUCCGUUUUAGUGUUAUAUAAGUUUUACCUUAUCACCAAACACUCUUCCAACAAUUACGCGUAUUCGUUCUGAAAAGAAAGGCGUCAGGAAGCCGGCAUUUUCACACACGAGUGGAUUUAUUCCUAACAAGGAAAUCUAAUACAGCACUUGGGUCUCAGGUCCCUCAGUACAGCCUCGUACUCCCCUGUGUCUAUCAGGAGAAGCACACAUCCCGAGUUGCCCAAGAAUGAUUCAUACUACACAAUAUGCAAAUACAUGUUCCUAGCGACUAUUGAUUGGCUAUGUGAUACCUGCAGUUAUCCUUAGCUUGCUCUGAUUGGUUUAAAUUCCCCUGCAAGAUGGCGUGGUCUUCUCUCUUCAUCUCCGGGUGGUCCCUCUCAGUGGGGGUCCCUCUCAGUAUGCGGGACAGCCGGGUUAUUUUCCCGCCUUUUGAGACAAAAGGGAGCGUCUGCCCCCCUUCCUGUGGUUGACUGUGGGCUUGUUCUGCAAGUCCUGUAAUUGUGCCUUCACACACAUCUGUUAUGUUAUUCCCUGACACUUGUAGGAAUGCCUCUGCCAUUACAUUUGACUGUUGAUUAAAGUUCUGCAUGGUAAAACACUGUUUUCUCUUAUUUUGAAAUUACUUUACCUUCAGGAGGAAGAUGUCGGCUAUGUCAAGUAGUGAGUAUAUAUAAGAAAUUGAUAAUAGGCAGUGGAUUGUGUGUCU